GACAGAGGGUGCGAACGUUGUUCGGAAUUACUGGGCGUAAAGGGCUCGUAGGCGGCCAACUAAGUCAGACGUGAAAUCCCUCGGCUUAACCGGGGAACUGCGUCUGAUACUGGAUGGCUAGAGGUUGGGAGAGGGAUGCGGAAUUCCAGGUGUAGCGGUGAAAUGCGUAGAUAUCUGGAGGAACACCGGUGGCGAAGGCGGCAUCCUGGACCAAUUCUGACGCUGAGGAGCGAAAGCCAGGGGAGCAAACGGG
rnacentral:rRNA from 1 species